rnacentral:tRNA from 2 species
GCGGGUGUAGUUCAAUGGUAGAACUUCAGCUUCCCAAGCUGAUAGUGCGAGUUCGAUUCUCGUCACCCGCUCCA